AGAGGUGGCUGGGACCACACCGCUGGCCCUGACAGGGGUGGGUGAGAGAGGAGACGGGGUGGGAGCGGCAGUUCUGCUUCUGGUGAUAAGCAAGGGAGGAGGCGGGAGCCAGCCAGUCUGGGGACGGCAGACCUCUGCACACCACGCAGUCCUGCGGAGUCACUCGGGGUCAACUCGCCUGCCCCGCCAGACCCUGCCGAGGUACAAACCUGUAACCCUCCCGCCGCGGUCCUCCCACAACCCUCCUGCAGCCCCUUCCCGAACCUACUGGAACCUUCCACUUGGGCUAAUGUCAUCAGCGGUUCCGGUGAAGUAUGUGAUUUGGUUUAGAGGAAGACUGUGAUUGCAUCAGGCUGGCCUUGCCCUUGGCCUGACUUUGCGCUCCUUCAGAGAUUGCUGGGACUUGCUUGGACUGCCCUCAAGUAGACUGCCCCAGAAAAAGCUGCCCUGUGUUGUCACAAACCGGCUCUCAGGAACAUGUCAGCAAGAACACCCCGCUUGAACAAAUGUGGAAAUGAAAGCACAGAGGCUCAGGAAACGACUUGGGAAGCGGUGGCUCUCUGCACUUGCUCAGCCUCUCUCCGGCCCGACAUCCUCCACUACACUUAUUGCAGUAGUGUAAACGAAUUUAAAAAAAAAAAAGCUUCUUUCUACAUCAAUCGUCCCCA